AAAAUGGAAAACGGUAAAGGAAGAAAAAUAAAGAAACAAAAGAGAAAACGAAUUAGGGAAUAGGGCGUAACAUAAUUUUCUCCGCCUUACUCUCUUGACAUCUCUCUCCCGACACGAACAGGAUGGAGAUCCUCUGUCUUCUCCGGUGAAUCAGAGCUCUUCUCUGCCUCUCCGCUUCUCUCUACCUCUCCGCUUAUCUCUGCCUCUCUGCCUUUCUGCUUCUCUGCUUCUCUCUACCACUUCGCUUCGCUCCGCCUCUCUGCUUCUCCACCUCUCUGCCUCUCUCUUUCUGUGACAUCGAUUACUUCUCUCUGCCUCUCCGCCAAUAUCUUUCUCUGACAUCGUGUUCACCUAAGUUGACGCUUGGUGGUGAAAUUGAGUUUGUCUUCAGCCUGUACGCCUCUCUUUUUCUCCGACAUCUCUAGCAGAUAAGAUAUGGAGCUACAGCUACCAAAACGACUGUAUUCUGAAGGGUUAGAACCUCACGUCAAGAAGAUCAACAACUGCUGCCGCAUGAAACCUAUCAGGGAUCUGAAAGAAGCUAUGUCUUGAGUACGAUGAUGUGAGGGUCAAUCCUGUGUUUAGACAUAUCAUGGCUAUUGCGGAAAAUAAGCUCAAGUUUUCGGGGACACUAGUGGACAGUGCCGUGCGAAGGAGUUUUGAGGCCUAAGGCAAAUUUGGUGUUUUUUUACAAAUUCUAAUUAGUUUUUAUAAAAAAAUUAAAUUAUAUAUAGUUUGUAAAAGAACUACAGAAUAAAGUUAAGACUUGGGUUCACCCCCUAUGGUGAAUCUUCAAAUUCA